GGUUAAGCGACUAAGCGUACACGGUGGAUGCCUAGGCAGUCAGAGGCGAUGAAGGGCGUGCUAAUCUGCGAAAAGCGUCGGUAAGGUGAUAUGAACCGUUAUAACCGACGAUACCCGAAUGGGGAAACCCAGUGCAAUUCGUUGCACUAUUGCAUGGUGAAUACAUAGCCAUGCAAGGCGAACCGGGGGAACUGAAACAUCUAAGUACCCCGAGGAAAAGAAAUCAACCGAGAUUCCCCCAGUAGCGGCGAGCGAACGGGGAGGAGCCCAGAACCUGAAUCAGCGUAUGUGUUAGUGGAAGCGUCUGGAAAGUCGCACGGUACAGGGUGAUAGUCCCGUACACAAAAAUGCAUAUGUUGUGAGUUCGAUGAGUAGGGCGGGACACGUGACAUCCUGUCUGAAUAUGGGGGGACCAUCCUCCAAGGCUAAAUACUCCUGACUGACCGAUAGUGAACCAGUACCGUGAGGGAAAGGCGAAAAGAACCCCGGCGAGGGGAGUGAAACAGAACCUGAAACCGUGUACGUACAAGCAGUGGGAGCACCUUCGUGGUGUGACUGCGUACCUUUUGUAUAAUGGGUCAGCGACUUAUAUUUUGUAGCAAGGUUAACCGAAUAGGGGAGCCGUAGGGAAACCGAGUCUUAACUGGGCGAAUAGUUGCAAGGUAUAGACCCGAAACCCGGUGAUCUAGCCAUGGGCAGGUUGAAGGUUGGGUAACACUAACUGGAGGACCGAACCGACUAAUGUUGAAAAAUUAGCGGAUGACUUGUGGCUGGGGGUGAAAGGCCAAUCAAACCGGGAGAUAGCUGGUUCUCCCCGAAAGCUAUUUAGGUAGCGCCUCGUGAACUCAUCUUCGGGGGUAGAGCACUGUUUCGGCUAGGGGGUCAUCCCGACUUACCAAACCGAUGCAAACUCCGAAUACCGAAGAAUGUUAUCACGGGAGACACACGGCGGGUGCUAACGUCCGUCGUGAAGAGGGAAACAACCCAGACCGCCAGCUAAGGUCCCAAAGUCAUGGUUAAGUGGGAAACGAUGUGGGAAGGCACAGACAGCCAGGAUGUUGGCUUAGAAGCAGCCAUCAUUUAAAGAAAGCGUAAUAGCUCACUGGUCGAGUCGGCCUGCGCGGAAGAUGUAACGGGGCUAAACCAUGCACCGAAGCUGCGGCAGCGAACGUAUCACUUAAAACGCUUAACGUGACGGCAAAGCCGGCAUGUUCAAGCCACACUAAACGUUGAGUUGGCCGGUGUGCUGACAAACGAACAGGCGUUUUAAGGAUACGUUCGUUGGGUAGGGGAGCGUUCUGUAAGCCGUUGAAGGUGGUCUGUGAGGGCUGCUGGAGGUAUCAGAAGUGCGAAUGCUGACAUAAGUAACGAUAAUGCGGGUGAAAAACCCGCACGCCGGAAGACCAAGGGUUCCUGUCCAACGUUAAUCGGGGCAGGGUGAGUCGACCCCUAAGGCGAGGCUGAAAAGCGUAGUCGAUGGGAAACAGGUUAAUAUUCCUGUACUUGGUGUUACUGCGAAGGGGGGACGGAGAAGGCUAGGCUAGCCGGGCGACGGUUGUCCCGGUUUAAGCAUGUAGGCGGAGUGACCAGGUAAAUCCGGUUGCUUAUC
rnacentral:rRNA from 1 species